rnacentral:rRNA from 1 species
UACGUAGGGCGCAAGCGUUGUCCGGAAUUAUUGGGCGUAAAGAGCUCGUAGGCGGUUUGUCACGUCGGAUGUGAAAGCCCGGGGCUUAACCCCGGGUCUGCAUUCGAUACGGGCAGACUAGAGUGUGGUAGGGGAGAUCGGAAUUCCUGGUGUAGCGGUGGAAUGCGCAGAUAUCAGGAGGAACACCGAUGGCGAAGGCAGGUCUCUGGGCCAUUACUGACACUGAGAAGCGAAAGCAUGGGGAGCGAACAGG